UACGGAGGGGGCUAGCGUUGUUCGGAAUUACUGGGCGUAAAGCGUACGUAGGCGGCUUUGUAAGUUAGAGGUGAAAGCCCGGGGCUCAACUCCGGAAUUGCCUUUAAGACUGCAUCGCUUGAAUCAUGGAGAGGUUAGUGGAAUUCCGAGUGUAGAGGUGAAAUUCGUAGAUAUUCGCAAGAACACCAGUGGCGAAGGCGGCUCACUGGCCCGGUACUGACGCUGAGGCACGAAAGCGUGGGGAGCAAACAGG
rnacentral:rRNA from 1 species